CUCUCUCUCUCUAUGACGAGAACGCUCAACUAGGCAAAGCUCAAGGGAGAGCUUGUGCGUGCUUUAGGAGGCGCUGUAGCAUCCACUUUUCUUUUGCUCCAAAGGGCCAUGACCUAGGGGCUGGGAGAGGAUCUUAAUAGAGAAGGCUUGAAGAAAAUGCCUCUUCGUGUUGCCAAGAGACCUCCGAGAAGGAGCAAGGGGAAGAUGGAGCAUUUUUUUUUUUCACUGGAAGAUGGAAUAGUUUGAAUGUUAUUUAUGUAAUUUUAUUUGCUAUAUGUGUUUUUCUUUUGUUAUUGGGUUGUAAUUUUAAA